UCCAGCAGCCGCGGUAAUACGUAGGUGGCAAGCGUUGUCCGGAUUUAUUGGGCGUAAAGCGAGCGCAGGCGGUUUUUUAAGUCUGAUGUGAAAGCCUUCGGCUCAACCGAAGAAGUGCAUCGGAAACUGGGAAACUUGAGUGCAGAAGAGGACAGUGGAACUCCAUGUGUAGCGGUGAAAUGCGUAGAUAUAUGGAAGAACACCAGUGGCGAAGGCGGCUGUCUGGUCUGUAACUGACGCUGAGGCUCGAAAGUAUGGGUAGCAAACAGGAUUAGAUACCCUGGUAGUCCAUACCGUAAACGAUGAAUGCUAAGUGUUGGAGGGUUUCCGCCCUUCAGUGCUGCAGCUAACGCAUUAAGCAUUCCGCCUGGGGAGUACGGCCGCAAGGCUGAAACUCAAAGGAAUUGACGGGGGCCCGCACAAGCGGUGGAGCAUGUGGUUUAAUUCGAAGCUACGCGAAGAACCUUACCAGGUCUUGACAUACUAUGCAAAUCUAAGAGAUUAGACGUUCCCUUCGGGGACAUGGAUACAGGUGGUGCAUGGUUGUCGUCAGCUCGUGUCGUGAGAUGUUGGGUUAAGUCCCGCAACGAGCGGCACCCUUAUUAUCAGUUGCCAGCAUUAAGUUGGGCACUCUGGUGAGACUGCCGGUGACAAACCGGAGGAAGGUGGGGAUGACGUCAAAUCAUCAUGCCCCUUAUGACCUGGGCUACACACGUGCUACAAUGGAUGGUACAACGAGUUGCGAACUCGCGAGAGUAAGCUAAUCUCUUAAAGCCAUUCUCAGUUCGGAUUGUAGGCUGCAACUCGCCUACAUGAAGUCGGAAUCGCUAGUAAUCGCGGAUUCAGCAUGCCGCGGUGAAUACGUUCCCGGGCCUUGUACACACCGCCCGUCACACCAUGAGAGUUUGUAACACCCAAAGUCGGUGGGGUAACCUUUUAGGAACCAGCCGCCUAAGGUGGGACAGAUGAUUAGGGUGAAGUCGUAACAAGGUA
rnacentral:rRNA from 2 species